AGAGCGAACGCUGGCGGCAGGCCUAACACAUGCAAGUCGAGCGCCCGUAGCAAUACGGGAGCGGCAGACGGGAUAGUAACACGUGGGAACGCGCCCUUCGGUUCGGAAUAACUCAGGGAAACUUGAGCUAAUACCGGAUACGCCCUUACGGGGAAAGAUUUAUUGCCGAAGGAACGGCCCGCGUCCGAUUAGCUAGUUGGUGAGGUAAUGGCUCACCAAGGCGACGAUCGGUAGCUGGUCUGAGAGGAUGACCAGCAUCACUGGGACUGAGACACGGCCCAGACUCCUACGGGAGGCAGCAGUGGGGAAUAUGGACAAUGGCGCAAGCCUGAUCCAGCCAUGCCGCGUGGAUGAUGAAGGCCUUAGGGUUGUAAAGUCCUUUUAACGGGGAGAUAAUGACGGUACCCGUAGAAUAAGCCCGGCUAACUUCGCGCCAGCAGCCGC
rnacentral:rRNA from 1 species